rnacentral:tRNA from 1 species
GCCCUCGUGGUGUAGCAGUAGCACACUUGGCGACCAGCCAAGAAGCGGCGGUGCAAAUCCGACCCGAGGGCU